rnacentral:lncRNA from 1 species
UUUUUUUUUCUGUUUAAUUUAUUGGGAAAAUUUCAAAAACCUCUCGUAUGGUUUCUUACUUUUUCAUUUUAGUACCCUAUAGUUUAAAAUAUAUCAAAUUAGUAUUAUAUGGUUUCUCACUUUAUCACUUUAGUACCCUGUGAUUUAAAGUGUAUCAAGUUAGUACUCUUUUGUUUUAUUUUUGUAUCAAGUUAGUAUUCUGUGGUUUUAUUUUUGUAUCAAAUUAGUAAUCUGUGGUUUUUAAACCAUAGAGUACUAAAGUGAUAAAGUGCGAAACCACAGGGUACUAAAGUGAUAAAGUGCGAAACCAUAGGUACUAACUUAAUACACUUUAAACCACAGGGUAAUAAAGUGAAAAAGUGCAAAAUCACAGGGUACUAACUUGAUACACUUUAAACUAUAAGGUACUAAAGUGAGAAAAAGUGAUAUCAUAAGGAGGGUAUUUGAAAUUUUUCCUAAUUUAUUUCUCAAUUGCAUACACUAUUACUUGCCCUCUCAGUAUUUCAGUUAAGGGAGUGUUUGGUUUGUAGGGAAAGUGAGAAAAAAAAGUUUUUUGAGAAAAAUUUUUUUUGUGAAUUUUUUUUUGUUAGUUUUUCUUCUAUUUUGUUUUAAAAAAACUAGAUGUUUUGAAAAUUUUAUUUUUCAAAUUUCGUAGCGAAUUAAUGUUUUUGUCUUCUGAAUUUCUUUUAAAAAAAAUGAAAGUGCUACUUUACAACAGAAUUAUAAUAUAAGAAUACAGUUUUGGAACAUUUUUGUGUAAGUGUCCAAUUUAUGCCAAAUUUUUUUUAAAAAAUUUACUAAGACUUAAAUAUAAAGUUCAAUCCAAUCAAAAAUAAAAAGUUACUCUACUCAACCAACCCACCCAGCUUACUCGGCCCGAUUACAAAUAGAAAAGAAAAAAAAAAAGAAGAAAAAUUGAUCACCAUCUCCCCUUCUCCUCCUUCGCCACCGCAGUCGACGAGUUAGGACUCCGGCGGCUGAAAUUCAGCCGCGAGGAUUUCGCAGGGACCGUGAAGGGCUACAAUUACAACGUGUCCCUCCGCUACAAGUCGCUGGAGGAAUGAGUGCCAAAUAUCAAGGCGUCCCUAUAUAUAGCGACCCCACAUAUAGCAACACUUUUAAAAAGUGCCGGUAAUUUAGCCAGUAGCACUUUUUUUUUUAUCUGUACUGAUAUUUAAAUGUGUCACUAUAUACCAUUUUUGUUGUACUAUUUUUCAUAAAAUUUGAAUUUUU